rnacentral:lncRNA from 1 species
ACAGCUUAGGAAUCCAGAAGAGCACGUCUGGCCUGCCCUGCUGGAAAGCUCCUUCCCUUGGGUCCUCUUUGUUUUUGCCUCAGUUUCUUCUUCUGUAUUGUGACCAGGAUCCUAAUUGUACCCACCUAUUGGAGUUAUUAGGAUGAAUUCAAGCAGCUAUUGCGGGAAAAGCUCUUGGACAGCUUCUGGCACAUUCUAGAGUGGUCUGCAAAGCGUUUUUCAUUAAGGUGAAAGGGCACUCUCUGUGCCUUGGCCUUCUGCGCUCUCCGAACCCCACCUGGGCUGUCAGUAAAGUAACAGGAUGCUGGCUCCCAUGCCAGGGUAAACAACCCUGGCCGAGCCCUGGGCUUAUGAAUUAUUCCUUAGCAGGCUUCUUCUCCGAUGACUUAAAAUCGUAAUCAAUGAUAGAGGAAGGAUUUACUGCUUUUUAAAUUUCUUUUUUAGGUCACUAGGCUGGCCUCGGUUCUCUGGCUAUUUAGGAAAGCAUAAUCCUUUCCAGGGAAUGGAUUGGUUUAGAUUGGAAAGGGGAGGGGUGGCUUUGGGGGAGUAAGAGUGCAGGCUGCAGAGGAGGUGGGAAAAUUUAGGAGGUGAGGGAUUCGGGGAAGGGAUUGGCUCCAGGACAGAAGUGUCUAAUGGCAGAGCCCCAGGUGGGCAGUGGAUGCUGGGAACAUAGGAAGGAGGAUCCUGGUGUGCACAGCGAGUGUCAGGAAGUGACGUAUGCAUGGGUGAGGAGUCAUAACCUAUCCUUGCCUUUCUUGACCUUUCCCCAAAAGACACUAAAGAUGGGGAGGAAGGGCUGGGAGCUUGUGGAUUGUUUGGAAAGUUUAAGAGGGGUGUGGACGGAGGAGAGAGCAGGCCAGAUUUAUAUAGAUCACGGAGUGAAAACCCCGGAAGUGAAAGUCAGGAGGCUCCAGAAGUCUGAGUGGCUGAGACACAAACCUUUAAGAAGCUGUGGGCACAUAGCUCAGGGCAGAGCAUUUGCCCACUAUGUACAAGUCCCGGCUUCAGGUCCAAACACUACAAGAGGAAAGUACAGAACAAACUCACUUCCCUGAGCCGAAGGUGAAAGACAGGGUCUCCAGCUCUGAAGCCCAGGGCUUCGUGAGUAGUGGGAGGGAUUUGUCAGGAAGCAGUGCCAAAGUCAAAUUCAAUGAUUAGAUAGGAACAGAGAACGACAAGAAUGGAUUUGGCUGCUCCGUUUGGGAAUUCUUGUGGGAUCUAGAGGGGAAGGGACGGGAUCAUCAACCCAGACAGAUAAGCGUCUAGGGGGAGUGUUGUUGGCAAAUAGACUACAGAUGCUGGUGGGAUAGGGAGGCGCCAAGGAGUGACUCCUAGACUUCCCACCUGUACAGGUGGGUGGCAAGAAUUCAGAGGGAAUUUUACCCCUUAUAUAACCCGUUUUAUUGCUCAAAGCCUAGCACGGAUAAGCUAUCUUUCUACUUCCCAGAGUCGCAGUGGAAUCCAAGUGGCCUUGUCUUUUAGGGACAGGGAGACACAUUGUUGCCGUGCCACUUAACACGCUGGAGUAGCAUCUUUGUGGCCCAGGUAUUUUCUCCAAUCCUUCAAAGAGCCUAGGAAGCAUUCUUUCCUGUGGAACGGUGCACCUGGCCACACUGCUGAGUGUUAAGUUGUUUUCGUUAAGCAUCUGUCUUUGAGUCUAGAACGAACAGAAAUAAGGAAACAUAGGUAAACAUAACGGCAGAAAAGGUACUCUGGAUUCCUGUUUUCCUGUCUUAGUAGCUGAGCUUGUACUGGGUACCUGUAAACCCAGCUCCCUGGAGCCAGAGGCAAGAGAAAGGUUGCAAACUCGAGGCCAACCUGAUCCACAUCGCAGCUUCCAAACCACCUAGGGCUACAGAGCAAGACCCUGUCUCCCCACUCUCCAAAGAGUAAAGUGGAGGUUUGUUUAUGCCUUUGAGCUCAUUAAUUGACCAGACUGUCUAGCCAGUGAAGUCUGGGGACCCUUUCUCUCUGUCCCCGAGUCUUGGGAACACAGGUGUCCAGUGCGGCUUCCAGCGUUCGAGUGGAUGCUGGGGAUCUGAAGACAGGUCCUCAUGUGUGCAUAGCCCACACUUCUCCAGCUGAGCCAUCUUCCCAGCCCCUUGGGAAGCAUCUAAACAAAAAAGCAGCUUAUAUGCUAUCUGUAAUUUAAGUUUUUUUCUUUGUUGCCUCGACAGCCUUGCUAAGUUUUUAUCAAUUUUUUUUGUCGAUCUUUUCAAAGAACCAACUUUCAGUCUUAUUGAUUUUUCUAUUUUCUAGUUUAUUAAUUUACACUCUAGUCAUUGCCUUUGGCUCUAGCUAUAAUUCUUUUUGUUGUUGUAAAUUUUUCUUUACAGCAUCUUUAGGUAGAGAGUGGGGUGCUUUCAGGUCUUGUGUGUGUUUAUGUUUGCCUGUUCGUGUGUGUACAGGGAUGCAUGCAUCUGGCUAAGAGCACUUUCUACAUACCCGUGGCGGUACAGUAAGCACUUUACCCACUGAGCCAUUUACCCAGCCCUGGAACUCAUUUUAUUCUUGUCCAGUGGGCCAUUUUACAUCUUACAUACAUCUCUCCUGUCUUUUGUUGUAUUUUCCAGUGCUGGGGAUUGAAUCGGUCUUAAAGAUACAGAGUAUCCACCUUAGCUUUAGCCUAUAUUUUCAAUCUCUCUGUAUCUCUAUGUGUUUCUGUCUCUCUGUCUCCCUCCCUCCUCCUAUCAGUGUCUGAGGUUAUUUCUGGUAUUUAAAAUGCCACUUAGAACUGCUCAUCUAUUUGCUUUG